UGCCUGGCGGCACUAGCGCGGUGGUCCCACCUGACCCCAUGCCGAACUCAGAAGUGAAACGCCGUAGCGCCGAUGGUAGUGUGGGGUCUCCCCAUGUGAGAGUAGGCAACUGCCAGGCAU
rnacentral:rRNA from 1 species